GACAGAGGGGGCAAGCGUUGCUCGGAAUCACUGGGCGUAAAGGGCGCGUAGGCGGGAUGGCAAGUCGGUCGUGAAAUCCUUCGGCUCAACCGAAGAACGUCGGCCGAUACUGCCGUUCUUGAGGGAUGCAGAGGAGAUUGGAAUUCCCGGUGUAGCGGUGAAAUGUGUAGAGAUCGGGAGGAACACCAGCGGCGAAAGCGGCGACCUGGACAGGUACUGACACUCAACUACGAAAGCGUGGGGAGCAAACAGG
rnacentral:rRNA from 1 species